AUAAAGCGUUAGGGAUUGCAGCGGCAUCCUUUUUUUGGCGGUUGGGCCGGCAAAAAAAGAUAUAGCGGAAAGAGCGCCCCAUA
rnacentral:sRNA from 1 species